AGGGGGACCAAGACCCCACUACGAGAGAGAGAUGCUAUCUGGCUCUAAUGCUCCAUCUCAUUACUGACCAAUACUUUGCCAAUUGAAUUGAUUUGCGUACGCGGACAUAAAUCACUCAUUUGGAGACUUUUAAGCUCCAAACGAGCAAUGAUUGCCUCCAGAUGAGUUGAAUGUUAGUUUAAGCCUCUCUUUAGAAGGUGCCCGGGACCCAUGAGCACGCUGUUGAGGAUGCACCCAGGGA
rnacentral:lncRNA from 1 species